UCAGAGCCUGCCCCAUCCACACUUGGCCCAGACUCAUCGGUCCCAGCAGGCUUCCUAACUCUGGAGAGGCCAGGGAGCAAAGAACACCCCCCAAAGCCAGAGAGAGGACAGAGCCUAUGGGGACUGCAGCAGGCUUGGUCAGAGCCAGGCCACAUCUCCACUCCCCAGGGGCACACUCUGAGGCUGGAAAAGGGGACUCCAGCUGCCCCAGCCCUGAGGCAUUGUGGCAGAACCCCCAGAAACUACAGAGGAUGUUUAAAGUUAUACACGUGACUUGCAUUGUAACUUCUGUUGGACAACGGCGGUCUUGAGACACAGCCUGCCACAGUGACAACAACAGAAAGGACGCGGAAAAUGGCAAUGGCGUAGUCACUGCUCCCACGCAUUAUCAACGCUGAAGCCUUCCACCAGUGCUGCAAAGUGGGGAUCACAGGCUCCAUUUCUCAGAUGAGGAAACUGAGGCUUGGAGAGCAAAGUGCUUGCCUGAAGUCACCCAGACUGGGAAGCCCUACACUUAUGCCACGUGCCUUUCUUGCAAAGGAUUGGACGCAAAGAUGGACCGAUGGGGAAGGAGUCACUGGGGCGUGGGGAGAGGCAGGGAGGACUUCAGCAAAGCCUGUGUGUCAGCUGCUCCCCUUGCAAACAGGACCCCGGGGGCGCCCUUACCAGCAGUCCUCUUCAGCAUCUGGUGCGUGGCUGUAUCCCCUAAGCCCGGGUCCCGGUCCCUGUGGAUGCUUCAGUGGGUGUCCCGAGAUGUUGAGGUCACUCAAGGCUGCUCUAGUCGGUUGACUGCUCUAGGAGGAACCGAGACUGGGCUAUCACAGAGUGAGGAUGUUUAUUGUCUAACAAUAGAUACUAACACUGUCAUCAUCCCCAUCUCCUGGGUGAAAAACAGGCAUAGAAAGGUCAGGUGACAUGCUCGAGGCCCCCAGCAGGGAAAGGAUAGGGCCAGCAUUCAAGCCCUGUGGGUGGGCUGAUUCUGUCGCAUUGGCUGGGAAUCAAAUGCACAGUGUUUGGGAAGCACCAACAUUCUAUUCCAUUUUCCCGAUUUUACGAAUGAGGGGAAUGAGGCCUGGAGAAGGUCAGAAAGUUGCCCAAGGCCAUACAGUGAUCUCCGGAGAAUCUAUGAGGUCAGAAAGGCCCCUGGGCGUCUCUCUCGGCCAGCUCUCCUCUUAGGAGAGGUUGGGAGCAGGGUUCCAGCCAUCCACAUGUCCUGCCUUCUCCAUGCAGCCAGUGAGCUUGGGCUGCAGGGAGAUGGAAGCCGCACUUACCCCGCCAGGCCUCUGUGAACUCACUGUCUAGGCAUCCACAGCUCCUGAUCCCAAACCCACAUGUCCUUGAGACCCAUGGGAAAUAGGGUGGCCCUGGAGGCUCAGUUGGAGGGGAACAGGGGCCCCCCAGCUCUGUGGCCACCCCACCCCAAUUUCCAGGGCCCCUGUCUUCUGCCAGUUGCCCCGCCCCCCGCACAACCCCUGCCCUUGCUGACUCAGGCGGGAAACCAGCCCAGGCAGUUUCGCUUCCUGGUUCUGAUGCAGCCCCUCUGGCCUGCCCAACUGGCAAGAUUUACUUCUGUCACUUGUUUUUUUUCCCUUUUGGAACACAGGUUCAUGGGCUGAGCUGCAGGACCCUGCCAGGAGAAUUGGGCAUUCAGGUGGAGGGGGAUGGUGGAAGCAGGAGAGGAAAGGCUUGGGAAGGAAUAAUUGUGUCUCAAAAGCCAUAUUUAGUGGCUGCCCUGGCCCUACAGAGAGGGCCAGUGUGACAGGCAAGACAGGACAGGCUGAGUGGCUAGUCUUGGGCUCCACUCUUUGAACAAAAGCAGCCCUUACAGCCCUCAGGCUCCAGAAUUCUCCACACUGAGCGAAGGGUGUUAGGAUCCCCAUUUAAUAGAUGGGCAAACAGAGGCUCAGAGAGGGGACAGGACUUGCUGAAGAUCACACAGCCAGGAAGUGGCAGAAACUGGCACUGAACUCAAGGUGUAGUUAUUUUCCAAAGUCUGGGGCUCUUGGCUUCGGCACCAUUGGUGGGCUUUUAUGGGCAGGUGGAAGGAACAAGCAGAGGGAAAAGUCAUGCGGGCUGUGAGGCUCUUUGGGGAGGCAGAGGGGAUGGGGCCAAGGGGGAACAAGUGGGUUGACAUUCCAGACCUCAUACCUGUUGCGCCUGAAUGCCUUUCCUCGCCCCUGGGGUCCUCCUCCAAAGGGCUGGUGUCAGAGGGACAAAGGAGCCAGUUUACAGGAGUCCCUGGCCCGCCUGGGUGCCGCCGGCCCCAGUGGGGUUGGCCUGGGUUCCAGGCACCCUGUCCCAGUCCUUGCUCUUCUGAGAUUCCAGAAAAAGGUUAACAAAUGAUUUCCAGAAGAGGGAGAAAUCAUGAUUCCCGUAGAUACAUAAAGAUGGACACGUGUUAACGUUUUUAUUGAACUCACGUGGGAACCAGGCAGAUGUUACACGCGGCUUGAAAGAGAAUCUGGAGAACAGGCACUUUUACAUUAUCAGACUAUUUGUGCAAAUAAAUGUGCAGAUGGGG